UCCUUUUUAUGUUGAUAAUAAUAAUAAUAAUAAUAAUAAUAAUAAUAAUAAUAAAUAACAAUAAAUUUUAAAACAUUUUAUUUCUACCCCACAACUAUGUCCUGAAGGGACUCGGGGCAGUUAACAAAAUACAGUGAAGUGCUGCAUAUAGACAACACAUAAAUCUAAAACAAUAAAACCAUAAAAUUUAUUUCUUUACAGUAUUUAUUCAUUUACAGUAUUUAUAUUCCGCCCUUCUCACCUGGCAGGGGACUCAAGGCGGAUCACAUUGCACACAUAUAAGGCAAACAUUCAAUGCCAUAUAACAUAGAACAGAGACAGAGACAGACGUAGGCACGGACUGGCCUCGAACUCAUGACCUCUUGGUCAGAGUGAUUAGUUGCAGCUGGCUGCUAUCCAGCCUGCACCACAGCUCGGCCUAAAUUACAAUCACACACAUACAUAAUUACAAUGUAAAACAUUUAAAUUCAUAAAAUGCAGUCAUAGCUGCGGAUGAAAACAAGUUGUUUCCAAUUGACACAACCUAGUGCCAAUGUGAUGCCAACAGUAAGUUCUCGAACUAAUCCUAAAAAUCUAUGGAAGAUCAAAGACUUGUUUAAAAAGUCGUGUUUUUAAACUGGAAUGGAAGGCUUGAAGCAAGGUGGCUAGCUUGAUCUUUCUAGGGAGGGCAUUCCAGAGCCAAGGUGCCACCGCCAAGAAGGCCCUCUCUCGUCCCCACCAACUGUAUUUGAGACGGUGGUGGGACCAAGAGAAAGGCCUCCCCAGCAGAUCUCAAUGCCCACACUAGUUCAGAGAAGGAGAUGCAGUCUCAAAGAUACAUUAGUCCCAAAGCGUAUAGGGCUUUAUAGGUAAUCACCCGGAAACUCAUCAAAAGACAGUAGAGUUGCUUUAGGAGGGGCAUGGUAGGCGCCCUAAAGCUCACUCUGGUUAGUAAUCUGGCUGAAAAUCUUUGCACUAACUGCAGUUUCUGAGUCGUCUUCAAAGGCAGCACCACGUAGAGUGCAGAUUAAUAUUGGGUCAGAAGUUUUAUCAUCAUGAUAAGUUGUCUUCAUGUUAAUCACUGUUAUUUUUAGUAUCUGUAGAGUUUAAUGGAGAAAAUGGCACAUAAUUGGUUGACAAACUGGAGCUUGGAAAUCUAAACCGUUUAUGUUAAUAUUGGUUAGAGAAUUUUAUAAGCAAGAUAAGUUGUCUUGAUGUUAAUUGUCACUGUUAACGUUAGUGACUGUAGGGGGUUGAUGGAAGAUGAGGGCAUAUAAUUGCUUGAUUCUAUGGCCCACAAGUGACAAAUGCUGUUCUUGCCUCCAUCAAAAAGGCUCUUUACAUUGUUUUCUUCUGAAGAAGUACAAUUGCUGUACUUCCCAUAUUUCAACUCCUGGAUGGAAGCGAGAGGCUUGUGGUCCAAAACAUCUGAAGGGUGCACAGCUCAGGAAAGUAUGGUAUUCAGCAAUCUAGGAAGUUGCUUUCUCAGUGGUCUGCUACAUCCACACAACCAGAAGAAUAGAAUCAUAGCAUUAGAAGAAGCCCCAGGGCCAUACAACCCAACCCCAUUCUGCUAUGUAGAAAGCCCUUCUGAUAGGUGGCCAUAAAACCUCCAAAAAAAGUAGGGUCAGUUAAGGUGGUAUCAAACUGCAAUUAAUUCUACCAUGUUGAUGCACCCAGAGACUCAUGCAAAGGGGAUCUCAGGCAAUGAAAUCUCACUAUCCUGGAAACGAGUCUUCGGAAGUGAUAGAGGUUCAAGUAGACCUUGCAUGGUUGAUUUAGGAUCCCAGAGCCUGAACUUUCUUCUCACUUGUACUAGAAACAUUGUGCCAAACAUAAUUUUCUGAGGCAUCUGAUUUUAUUGUGGCUAAAAAUACUACUAAUUGGUCCUUUCUAUACAUUCUCUUCAGCGUUCUGGAAAAUUACCUACUGAUUGUAUGGGUCUAUUUUUUUCUCUUUCCUAACAUGCUCACCAGUAGCUCCAUAAUCUUGGGAGAUGAACUGAGCAUCUCGGAGAUUUUAUUUUUACCCAGGAAUUGCAAAAGACAAUUGGAUACAUUUCUACCAACAAUGAACAAGUUUCUAAAGCCAUCACGGAAGAAGUUGACACUCUGUUUCUGCAACCGGCAUCUCACAGGACCCAUCGUGCACAGAUCUUCUGAUAGCCAAGCAAAGCAAUAAUGUGACCCACGCGUUCUUGUGAAAUGCCAAUUGUGCUUGAAAUUUCUCUCUGAGUGAUACGAUGAUCAUCCUGAAUAAAUAUGUUAACUUUU